GGUCUCACUCUGUCACCCAGGCUGGAGUGCAGUGGCGCAGUCAUGGCUCCCUGUAACCUCAACCUCUCAGACUCCAGCAAUCCUCCUGCGACAGGGAGGCAGUCAAUGGUGAAUGCUGGCCUCGCUGAUUACUCACCUGGAGACCUUUCUGAGGAUCAGUUUUCUCAUCUAGAAAAUGGGACAACUGCCAGACCACUGAAGAAAAUACAGAAAACAGCCCCACACAUCAGCAUGUUUGGUUGCUGCCAGUCUACUUGGAUCUGAGUAUUUUUUCUUGCCAUGAAUGUGACGUGAUUAUCUUCUCCUACAUCACACUGAAGUUUUAUGAAUGA
rnacentral:lncRNA from 1 species